rnacentral:tRNA from 1 species
AGCAGCGUGGCUCAGCGGAAAGAGCACGGGCUUGGGAGUCAGAGGUCAUGGGUUCUAAUCCCAGCUCUGCCA